UUUUUUUUUUUUUUUACAAAAUACGACUUUUGCAUUUCUCCUUUGAAAUAUCUAGGUAACUCUCUUAGGUCUUCCCUUUAUUUUACACAAUGGUCAGAGCAUCGGGAAUGGGAGAAGUCCUUUUCUUUGAUCGCCCUGUGGCAUUCAAGUUCUUCUCUGACCCAAGGACUCAUCUAGAAAACAAGUUUGUGGCUGUUCUGCCCAUGACUGAGCCAGUCAGAUUCUGUCCGUAGCUUCUUCCCACCCUCUCUUUAGCCAUCUUCCUGUCUUGUAUUUAAGUGAGAGAAAAAAAGGUUUGAUAUUAAUUAAGUUACAUGGCGAAUUCCUCCCCCUAAUUACAGUGGAACCUGUCCACUGGACACUUUGAAGUGCAGCUCUUUAGAUAUAAGAAACUUCUCAUCCUGCGCCAGGGCUCAGUUGUGCUCCUCCACAUUGUUCACUUCAGUCAGAAUAAAACUCUUUUGGAUAAUGAAGGGAAGAGCAUUUAACUUGGUCCAGUCCAGUCAGCUAGGAGUGGGGUGUGGAAAGCCUGCUGGACCCGCCAUAAGCAGUGUGGGAGGCUGGGACGGCUACUCAGCUCUGGAUGGACAGGUGGUCAAGUGCGUUGGACCUGGUGGUAACGAGGGUGCCGGAGGUCACCCCGGUGCUGGGAUACUGUGCGGGAGGCCUGGGGUGGGGGGCAGGUGCAGCACCCCACACGUGUAAGGAAGGGCUCAGCUCCAUGGGCUGACGUUUUGCUGUGAGCCGAUAUCCGUGGUGGAAGGUGGACUUGGAUGGUGCUCUUCAUCCUAACUUCCCAGGGACGGUGCCUUGGCUUUGUGUGGGGCUCAGAAGCUACCCUGGGAGCCCCAGAGCUGGAGCAGUGGCAAGGAUCUAAGAAUGUCCUUGCACUCUGACGAGGUGAACUUCACUUGGGUGAACCCUUAGGUGACAAGGUCAGCUUAAUCAUGUUGUGCUUUAAUAUUACAAAAGGAGAACCAGCUGUGUAACCACCUGAUGUUCAACGAACAGAGAUUCCAGAACAGCAAAGGCCCAAGAGGUCUCCGGGGUAGAUUACUUUCACCAUUGUGUUUGUUGGUUUACUUAUUUAGUGUGGGAUGUGAGUGCUUGGGUGCAUAUGAGCACCGUGGUGCACGGCUGGAGGGGAGAGGACGACCUACAGUGAGUCAGUUCUUACGGAUGGAAGCUCAGGUCUUCAGGCUUAGUGACAAGUGACUUUCACUCACCGAGCCAUCUCACUGGCCCAAGGUGGAUACUUUCAUUCUCAUUUUACAGAUGGUGAAACGCAAAUGGGUUAGCUCAUCUUUCCCAAACCCCUGCACCUCCAAAUUGUAGAGGAAAGAGAACCCUUUCCCUUCUGGGGCUAAAUUGGACACAUCAGCUGCCACGGAUGCAGUCCUCAGGAAUGCCUGUUCCUCGCCAUCUGAACAAAAUAGGGUUCAGGACUGCUAGGCUCCAACACCUGAUUCUUUUUGCUUCCUGAGGUUGGGUCUUUAGCACCGAUGAAAGCCAGAUUCCAGCCGCCAGCCAUAGGAGACACCUGCAGAUAGCUCUCCCAUACUCACCCUCCUGGCACAGGCUCACAUACACCCCUCCCGCAGUCAACUCCACUGUGCUGUCUGGGCGAGGUACAGGGUCUGCUCUCCGGGGUGCUGUAGCAAUCAGAAAGCUGGGGAAACAGGAGGCCACUGUCCAAACUUCUGAGCGCAGGAUCACAUCACCACGGGAAUAAUCCAAGAACACGGGGAACGGAGAGUCUUGGAAUCUGUCAUUAUCACCGCUGACUCCAGAGUCAAACUGUUAGACCAUCUGGGUAUGCGUUAGAACACGUAAAGCUCACUUAAAACUCAUCACCCUACUUAGCUCAGUGAGGAGUUCCGGUUCUGACUUCCAAAUGGA
ensembl:lncRNA